GAUGAAGAACGUAGCGAAAUGCGAUAAGUAAUGUGAAUUGCAGAAUUCAGUGAAUCAUCGAAUCUUUGAACGCACAUUGCGCCCGCCAGUAUUCUGGCGGGCAUGCCUGUUCGAGCGUCAUUUCAACCGUCAAGCCCCCGGCUUGUGUUGGGGACCUGCGGCUGCCGCAGGCCCUGAAAAGCAGUGGCGGGCUCGCUGUCACACCGAGCGUAGUAGCAUACAUCUCGCUCUGGGCGUGCUGCGGGUUCCGGCCGUUAAACCACCUUCAUAACCCAAGGUUGACCUCGGAUCAGGUAGGAAGACCCGCUGAACUUAAGCAUAUCAAUAAGCGGAGGA
rnacentral:misc_RNA from 1 species